rnacentral:rRNA from 1 species
UGUGAUAAGUAUUGUGAAUUGCAGAAUUCAGUGAAUCAUUGAAUCUUUGAACACACCUUGCACCUUUUGGUAUUCCAAAAGGUACACCUGUUUGAGUGUCAUG